rnacentral:rRNA from 1 species
CAGUCGCCACGGUAAUACGUAGGUGGCAAGCGUUGUCCGGAAUUAUUGGGCGUAAAGGGCUCGCAGGCGGUUUCUUAAGUCUGAUGUGAAAGCCCCCGGCUCAACCGGGGAGGGUCAUUGGAAACUGGGAAACUUGAGUGCAGAAGAGGAGAGUGGAAUUCCACGUGUAGCGGUGAAAUGCGUAGAGAUGUGGAGGAACACCAGUGGCGAAGGCGACUCUCUGGUCUGUAACUGACGCUGAGGAGCGACAGCGUGGGGAGCGAACAGGAUUAGAUACCCCUGUAGUCCCUGUCUCUUAUAC